ensembl:ncRNA T08B2.14 ncRNA
AAAUUGUAUUGCACAUCGACUGGAGACAUUCAGAACAAACUCUGAAAUUUCCGUCGUUAUGCAAGAAUCUAUUUUCCCGAGUCGGAAACCGUCAUAACUAUUAAAGUUGAUCCGGGGCAAAGACCGGGCACACAGUGGGAUUGAACCAGAGACCUGCUGACCGUUAGUCGCCAGUGUUCCCAACUGCGCCAUGAGUGCAGUUUCCCCCCACAACCUCUCAU